UUCAUCGUGACCCUCACUUUUGGGGAAAUGAUGUGCAUCAUUUUAAACCUAAGAGAUUCGCUGAAGGGAUUGCCAAAGCUACCAAUUACACCGCGGCUGCCUUUUUCCCCUUCGGAUUAGGACCUCGAUCUUGUGUUAGUAUGACAUUUGCAAUGAUAGAAACCAAGAUUGCUCUCUCCAUGAUUCUACAACGCUACACCAUUAUCCUUUCCCCUGCUUAUGUCCACUCUUCAAUACUUAUUCUCAACUUUCAACCCCAAAAUGGAAUUCAAGUAAUACUUGAGCCGAAUACAUAGUAAUGCUUGAAGUACAUAGCCGUUAAGAACUAGAGGUUUAACAUGGUUCAUGUAUUUUACUUUUAAGAGAUGAUAUUUAAUAUGUUUAAAGGUUCUAGCAUUCAUCAUUAAAGACAAACGACUUGUGGCCAUGUUUACUUUUUAUCUAUCAUGCAAUGUCGAUAAGAAGAUAUCAUUUACCUUUUAGUUGGGUUAUGAAUUCUACUAUUGUGAAUGAUGUUACAUACUAUACAAGUUCUAUACCCAAUGCACCAACUUUCGGUUCUUUAUCUAUUUGAACUUAGCCUUUUACUUGCAUCAAAGUAUACGAGUCAUGCUUGUAUAGUCCACCAUCCACUCAAGAUUAAGGUAUAUCACACAAUGAACAUCACAAGUAAAUAGAUCCAUAAAUGGAUCUAGAAUCUAUUCUACUUGGGUCUUUUCUGAUGUAUUGUCAGUCCAGUCAAUCACAUCUAUGUCUUUAUCUUUUAGGAGUUAUCUGUUCCAUUUAAGACAAAGCAUCUCCACAAUUGGGUUUGAUAGACGACAUCUUAGUUUUUCAAUCGAUUUGCUCAAUUUUGAUUAGACUAAGGACAUAUUUAGGUUUAUAUACUAAUACAAGCUAUCUUUCCAUAUCAAGAUCUGACCACGUAAUACCGCUUAGUAUUAAUUUAAACAAUAGAUAACCAAUGAGCCAAUAUUUGCUUCCAUUUUGCUUUGUGUGCAAAAACAUUGAGGACAAUAUGCAAAGGGUAUUAAUGUAAUUAAUAGAUAUUAUUAAACCAAUUUGUUUGAAAAAUACAAUUAUAUAAAACGAAUAUAGUACACUUAGUGUACCAAAUCCAACAAUGGCCACUACAGCUAGCAUUGCCAUAAGCAACAUAACUUGACAUUUUUGGAGUUGAAAUCUUUUUAACAAAAUCAGUUGGGCAACGACUUAGAUGAUUUUGUGGACAUGUGUUGGCUCAUAUUUGAAGAUCCAUUUUGUGGAGCAAUCAAUCUGUUAAGAUUAAAUCAAUCUGAAUCAAGCAAAUCGGAUCACUUAUUUUGUGGAGAUUGGCUUGACUUAUUUUAAAAUUUAUUUUCGAAAUCUUUGAUUUAUUCUUAACUUUCAGGAUAUUUGUAAAAUUUGAUAACACUCUAGAAUAACGUAUUUUUAUGUAUUAAUUAUGUAUUUAUUUUGAAUAUGAUCCUGCUAAUUUGAGCUAUUUAUGAUAUUUUAUCUCAUAGGGACUAAAUUUGAGACAAAAGCAAAAUUAAGGGCCAAAAGUGUGAAUUUAGAGAUAAAAUGGGCCAAUGUGCGACACAAAUAAAAGUUGGUGCCAAAAGUGCAAGCAUGGAGGACACAAGGGUUGAAAUGCAAAAAAAAGAGAUUUUAUUCUAUCAAACUCUAUUUUAAUUAUAUUAGGAUAAUUAAUAUUAAGAUAAUUAUUAAGGAUUAUCUAAUUUUAGGAUUUUAUUUUAUUUAUCUUCAAUUAAAUGUAUUUAUCUUUUGGAGUUUAAGUAGGAUUAGACUAUCUCCCCUAGCACUAUAAAUAGGGGUAAAGUAACUCAAAAAUGAUGUAAACACUCUCUCCCCCAAAAGUCUAGGCUUUUGUUCUCCUCAUAUUUCCUUUCAAUAAAAUCUCUAUUUUUAUUUUAUUUAUUUUCUUUUUCACCACAACCAUGAGCCACUAAACUCAUCUAGCUGAAAGUUGUCGAUAUUUUCCAAAAAGGGUUCUCGAGGCCUAGAGUCCGUACUUAGCCUCCUCGCUGAGUAUUCAUUGUUUCUCUGCACUACGGGGCUGACGCUUCCGUCCAUGUCCCUUAAGAAGUAAGAUUUUCAAUGUAUGCAAAGGCGACUGCUUUGUAUGUUUUAGGAAGAUUGCAUAGUCAAUUCGUUAACUUACUGCGUUAGAGGUUAGUGAGCCCAAGAGACAAAAUGGCAUGGGAUUCACCAUUGAGAAUCGCUGAUCUAGCAUAAGACGAUCCCAUAGAAGCAAUUGUUGGCUAGAGUCAGGUUUCACUAAAUCGUAAGUCUAAAUCCUUAGAGCUGGUGGUCGUAGGCGUCCUCUUCCACUAUAACUGGCUUAUUCGGUUUAGGAAGGAUCAUCUAAAAGUUGAGGAUUGAACCCAAGGCGGAACGAGAAAGCUGGAGGUUAGAAUCUCCCAUAAGAAUUUUCUUUCUCUUAACUUUAUUUUUAAUUUCUCGAAUUUUUGAUUCAAUAUUCUUAAUUUUGUUUUUAUUUUAUUUUUCGUUUCCAGACCCAAACCUUUAAUUCUAUUUUUUUUAUUUUUUUUCCAGGAACGCAGGUUUUCUCGGGAAAGAUUCUGCCUGGGAUUUCACAAAAUAAGAUAUUGUGCAAAUCCAGUCCCUAAGGAUUUUACCUUACUUUCCUUUUACUAUUCUUUUUCAUUAUUUAUUAGGGAUAGGAUAUUUUUUGUGCUUUCAACAACCGCAUUAGUAAAGUUUUUUUUACGAGGCUAUUUUUUGUGGGAUAUUGAUUCGAAUUGAUCUUUAUCUUUGCAAACAUUAAAUUCUUAUAUAUUAGAGGCUUGUGUAAGUUAAAAUAAGAUAGAGUUUCUAUUGCACUUAUUUUUUUCAUUGAGGAACUUGUAAUUGAUAGUGCAUUAAGAGUGUAAAAUAAGUUUGUUGCUUGGUUUUACAGCCAAAAUUCUCAAGGGAAGAACUUAGUGGUGAAUGAUUUAGAUAUUUAGAUACAAAAGUGAGGUUGCUAUACCGAGUUGUGAUAGGACUUAAAUAACUUGUUGUCUUGGGAUUAAAAAUAAUGGAUUUACUCAUUAAGUUAGGUUCCAUAGACAUAGAAAAAUCGAUAUGCAUAAACAAUCAUUUGUGUUCUAUUUUUUGUUGUUGUGUUCAUCAUAGUGGCAUCAAAGGUUGCCAUUACAACCAUCACUUUGUCAUCAAUUACUCACUUUAUUUUUUUAAGCAAUUAUCAACUACAUGCGCCAAGAGAAUGCUUGUUUCCAGUACUAUUGAUCAAAAUUUUGUAGGAAGCAUAAUGACAAAAAAGGAAAUGAUUACAAUCAACCCCUUAUGUAACAAUUCCAUUUGUAUGUUUGCAUGUUAUAAAAUGGUGGUUGUUAUAUACUACAACAUGUUGUUAUAAAAAGAUAAUUAUUGUAAACCUAAAAUAGAAUUUACAUUGCGAAUUACUAUCAUAUAAAGAAGGUGGGAAUUAUAUUAAAAAAGGAAAGUAGAAACCAAUUCAACAAAAUUAAAAGAUGUAUAAUAGGUGCAUGCAUUAUUACCUUUAUAUUUUAUUUUACAUUUUUCACAUGAUUAAUCGAUAUGAGUUUAAAUUAAAUUAAUUAAUUUAUCAUGUGUCAUUAAAUUCAAGUAAUUAAUUUAUAAGAUUAUGAUGUUCCAAAUUUAUAGUAGAAUAUUUAAUUAGAGAACUUAAUAGUUUAUUGAAUUGAUAUCUUUAAUUCCACUCAUUGAAGAUUUUGUCAUGUGAAAUUUAAACAUUUUAUUAAAAUAAUAUUUUAUGAUUGUUUAUGAUAAACUUAGGAUUUUUAAUAGUGUUUAUAUAUGUAUUAUGUUAAGAUACAUAAUGAUAAAACUAGAGUUUGUGGUAUGUUUUGAGAUGAUAGGCUUCACGAUUAUGUGAUUUAUUGUCCUUAGCUAAUUCAAAUAUAGAUUAAUGAGGUUGGUUUAAUAUAUGUUGUAGGGAACAACGAAAAUGGGAAAAAAUUAAAUAUUACCCUAAAACAAAUUGAUAAUUAAUAUAGUUAAAUUAAAUCCAUUUUGUUUUGGCAAAUGAAAAUCAUUGGUUUAAAAGGUUUGAGAAUUGAGGAACCUUUGCAAAACAUAAUGCGAUAUCAUCACUGUUUAUAGGAGCUGAGUAUAAAUAUUCUCUUUUCAUGUCUUUGUUGUUGGGUUUUUAGGUCUUUUUGUGACAAUUAUCAUUCCUCUCAUUUCAAUAUUUAUGAUAAUAAUACCUGUAAAGCACGUUGGUCAUGUCUUAUUUUUACUAUUUAUGUAAACAUGAUUCCCGUAUAAACUAUACUAAAAUUCGUAUUAUUGUAGUACUUAUUAUUAAAGUUUCAGUCCUGUGACAAUUGGUAUUGGACUGAGAUUUGAAGCUACCAGUUGAGAUGACAAAAGGAGUAGAAGAGCAGAUUGAACCCAGAGAGACCAUGGGAGGGGCAGGAGCUAUUUAUAUAUUUUUGAGAUGUUGAUAUCUUCCAGAGCCAUUUAUGACCACACACGAUAAUGGGUAAGAUAGGGUCCUACCUGACUUAUGGUUUAUCUGUUUUGAAGGGGGAAAUGGUUUUGUUUUAGAGAAGAAAAAUGAAUGCGUUGAUGAAACUUCUAAUUCUUGCUCCAUGUUUCUUCUUCAUAGCUUUAAUAAAGUUACUUUACGAUUACCUAUGGAUACCUCUCCGUAUUCAGCAUAUGCUGAAUUCACAGGGGAUCAAAGGACCUCCUUACAGAUUCAUCCAUGGCAACAACAAGGAAGUUACCAAAAUGAAACAAAAAGCUUUAAGCAAAUCUGUGGGCUUGACAGAUGAUCUAUUUCCCAGAGUACAUCCACAUUUUUACACCUGGACCAACAGAUAUGGUAAGAUCCAUGCCUGUUCUUUCACUAUGAUUUAUAACUUGUAGUUCUAAGAAAAGGUAGACCCUUUUUCUUUUCAUGUUAUUAGGGAAGAAUUUUGUUUAUUGGAACGGUGCUCGAGCUGAAUUGGUGAUUUCAGAGCCUGAAUUAAUCAAAGAAGUUCUGAAAAAUAGUGAACAAAUUUUUCAGAAAAAGCAGCUUUCAGAUAUCGGUAUGAAGUUCUUGGGGAAUGGACUUAUAUUCAUUGAGGGGGAAAAAUGGGCAAAGCAUCGAAAGCUAGCCAAUCACACUUUCCAUGGGGAAAGCCUAAAGGUAAGUCUUCCAAAUAUAUAAACUAGAUGUAAUUAAUUUACAAGAAUUAUACAUAGACUACAAUAUUUUGGUAAAAUUUUGCAUUCUUAGCUAAUUUAUUAUCGAAGUUGAAAAGAUUCGUGAAAAGUAAUUUUGAAAAAUUUGACAGCAUUUACCACUUAAGAUAUCAAUUUUAGAUUUAAUGUUGUAAAGUAAAAAAUAAUUCAGAGAUUUAAAAAAGAAGUCAUUUCAUUGAAAAACACUAUUUUAACUUUUUGACUUAGAUUAAAAUCUAAUUUGAAAUAAAGUUUAGUUUGAAAUUUUGUUUGUUUGCGAAUUUUUCUAAGUUGAAAUCAUGAUUUUGUGUUGAAAAGUGUUUUUCAGACUCCAAUUAUAUAUGUCACUACUACUUACAUAUUGGAGGAUUGUUUCCGCAGAACAUGACUCCAGCAAUAAUUGCUAGUGUUGAAACAAUGCUAGAAAAGUGGAAUGGCCAAGAAGGAAAAGAGAUUGAAGUGUACCAAGAAUUUAGGUUAUUAACUUCAGAAGUGAUUUCCAGAACAGCAUUUGGUAGCAAUUACAUGGAAGGGGAGAAGAUAUUUGCCAUCUUGAGAAAGUUGACAGUAAUUAUGAGUCGAAAUCUUUCCAAGACUAGAAUUCCUUUGAUCAGGUAUCUUCCCUCUACGCUUAAUUAAUCCCAACUUUUACCUUGAUUUCAACUAGCUUUUGAAUGCAACUUUUAGACUUUCAUUCCCCAUUGAUUUGGUUUUCUCCUUAUAUAUAGCUGACCCUGGUUUGCUUUUGCAGCAAGUUGUGGAAAUCUGCUGAUUUGCUAGAGGCUGAAAAACUUUCAAAAGAAAUAAAAGAUCGUGUGAUGAAGAUUGUUAAGAAAAGAGAAGACAAAGUUGUGAAUGAAGAAGUCAAUAGCUUUGGCAGUGAUUUUCUUGGAUUACUUCUAAAUGCCUAUCAUGAUUCGGAUGCGAAAAACAGGCUUUCCUUGGAAGACGUGGUAGCUGAAUGCAAAACAUUCUAUUUUGCUGGACAAGAAACUGUUAAUUCCUUACUUGCAUGGAUAGUCUUGCAUUUGGCAAUCCACGGAGAUUGGCAAGAAAAAGCGAGAAGAGAGGUGAUUGACAUAUUUGGUAACCAAAAUCCACAUCUCGAAGGCAUCGCGAAACUCAAAAUAGUAAGAAAACUAUCUAACUGGGAAUUCAAAUAGCCAUCAACAUUAUGCAAUCUAACAUAUUUGUCUAUUUCCUAAACAGAUGACCAUGAUCAUCAAUGAAACUCUAAGAUUGUAUGGUCCAUCAAAUGGCCUGGCAAGAGCAGUUACAAGAGAAGUUCAGUUGGGAAAACUACUCUUGCCUGCUAAUAUAGAUAUUCUGCCUUUAAAUAUUGGACUUCACCGUGACCCUCACUUUUGGGGAGAUGAUGUGCAUCAUUUUAAACCCGAGAGAUUCGCUGAAGGGAUUGCCAAAGCUACCAAUUACACCACGGCUGCAUUUUUUCCCUUCGGGUUGGGACCUCGAUCUUGUGUUGGUAUGACAUUUGCAACAAUAGAAACAAAGGUUGCUCUCUCCAUGAUUCUACAACGUUACACAAUUACCCUCUCCCCUGCCUAUGUCCACUCUCCAAUACCUAUUCUCACCCUUCGACCACAACAUGGAAUUCAGGUAAUACUUGAGCCGAUACAUAGUAAUGCUUGAAGUACAUAGCUGCUAAGAAAUAAGGGUUUAACAUGGUUCAUGUAUUUUAGUUUUAAAAGAUGACAUUUAAUAUGUAUAAGGUUCUAGCAUUUGCAACCCCUUCCCUCCUAUGGUGUGCCCACCUUCAUACAUAAUGAAAUGCAAGUAGCUACUUAUUUCCAAGAUGCUAAAACACACAAUCAAUAAAGAAGAAUAUGUCGAGGCAAGUUUUGGGAGCAGUGACUCGAGAAAUGACAACUGCGUUUGGCACGCGCAGGUCACAUAACUUUUAGCAUGUUUGAAAAAAAAUAUUUUGAUUACUUGCUUGCAUCUUUUUUAGGAUUUUGUGCAUCCAAUCUUGUGUUUAUUAUUUAAUUAAUCUCAGAUUGAUUUUUCUUAAACUAGUGGUUAUACUAAGGCUUGUUAGCGGAUUAAACUUUGUGCAAAACACUAUAGAUGUAGAUGUGUUUCCCGUGAUGGGAUUUGUAUCUACUAAAAAUAAAUUCCUACACUUGAAACCAAAAUUAAAUUUGUAGUAUAUAGAGUAGGGUUGAUCCCACAAAGGUUGAUCUAUCCAAAUUUCUAUUUCUUUAUAACUAGAACGUGUCCCGAGCAGUUUUUAUGCCCAUGACUUGUGCCAACCUAUACGAAAAACUAAGGGGAAUUAAAUCUGAAAAAUAAAUAAACAACAAAAAUAAAUUAAUAAUUAAAAUGAAGUAGAAAUAAGUAAAAUGAAAUUAAAAUUGAAUAAACCGAUAAAACAAAAGCUUUAGCUUCAAGCUCGAUUUUGACUUAGUCUUCAAACUGAUCACGGAGAAUGAAUUUUUUUUCCUUUAAUUAAUAAGUCAAUUAUAGAUGCCAAGGAACGAACCUCAAAGCACCUAAUUCUUCCAUAGUGGUAAAUUAAUUGCGGGAACAGCUCGACGGCUAAGCCUUAUCAAGUGAAUAACCUUGAAAGUAGCAUUGGUGAUUUAAUUCAUUGGUAGCCUUGCAAACUAAAAGAACCUGACUCAAAUCAACGGCCUCAAUUGUAUGAGUCAUUUAAACUUAAUUAUUAACUUCUUUGAUGGAUCCAACCACUCACGCCAUUUGUCAUGUCAAUUUGUAAUUCAGUGGAUCUAAUACAACAAUUACGGAUAGCAUCGAUUCUCUAACUUUAUGUCGUUCAACACUAAACCAAGGGACUCUUCUUGAUUUUGAUGCUAAAAUAACAUUGAGAAGUGAUCAAGUUUAUCUUUUAAAUUGGAGAAUUAACGAAUACCGAAAUGGAGAAUAUAAAUACGAUUUUAAAAGUUCACUGUUCAAAUAUUGGAUCAAUUAUCAAUCUAAAACUAGGUUAAAUUUAACAUCUCAUAAAUUAAAAAACAAGAAAAGAAAAUAGUUGAAGGAGAAUAUUUAAUUGAAAUUAAAAAAACACUAAAAUAAAAUCAAAACAAUAGUUAAAUGAUGAAGUUGCUUUGAAACUGGAGUUACCAUUUUCGUUGGAGGAGAUAACAGAGGCAGUGUGGAGUUGCGAUGAGUCGAAAGCAUCUGGGUCGGAUGGCUUUAAUAUGUGCUUUUUUAGAAAAUGUUGAGAUGUUGUAAAAGAGGAACUUUUUAGAAUGAUGUUAGACUUUUUUAGAUCUAGAAAGCUUGAGAGGAGCAUAAAUUCUUCAUUUAUUGCACUCAUAUCCAAAAUCGAAAAUCCAAAUAAAAUAUUAGAAUUUAGACCAAUUUUUUUGGUGAGCUUGUUGUACAAGAUAGUGGAAACGGUGUUAUCUCGAAGAAUUAGGGAGGUUGUUGGAGAGGUAGUGAGUGAAACACAAUGUAAAUUUACCAGAGGUAGACAAAUAUUCGAUGGAACUUUAAUUGUAAAUGAAAUUAUCCAUUCGAUUAAAAAGAAAGAUGGUAUUGGGGGGCAAUCUGAUUUUUAAACUAGAUUUUUCUAAAGCAUAUAUAUGAUUGUGUUUGUUGGGAUUUUUUGGAGUUAGUUUUACUCAAGAUGGGAUUUGGCGAGAAAUGGAUAGAAUGGAUUAUGGAGUGUGUAUCUAUGGCGAGAGUAGCAGUAAUUAUCAAUGGGUCAACCAAAAAUGAAUUCAGAUUCCGCCGAGGUCUCCAUCAAGGAUAUCCGUUAUCCCUAUUUUUAUUUAUCCUAGUGACGGAAGUGCUACAUUUCUCGAUGGAUAAAGCAGUGGAGAUGGGACUAAUUUAGGGCAUUCAAGAUGUUAUUCCCGUGUAGAUUUUUUCUCAUUUACUAUUCGCGAACGAUACUAUACUAUUCUUGAGAGCAGAUGAAGAUGAGGUGAGAAAUUCGAAGUAUAUUUUAUGGUGUUUUGAGAUCUUUUCAAGUCUUAGUAUCAAUUUCAAAAAAUCAUGUUUAGUAGGAUUUGAUGUGAAUGAAGAACUCUUAUAUCAAAUGGCUACAAUAUGUAAGUGUAAGAUAAGGUUUUUGCCUUUUAAUUAUCCAGGGAUUCUAUCGGGAGCAAAUCUGAGGAGAGUAUCCACUUGGGACGCAAUUGUAGAGAGAUUCAAGAAGAAAUUAUCGGGAUGGAAAUGUCGUCCGCUCUCAUGGGCUGCAAGGAUUGUAUUGAUUAAUGUUGUUUUGUCUGCCUUGCUAAUUUAUUUCAUGUCUAUAUUCCAAGCUCCAGUGACAGUUAUUAAAAGGAUCGACAAGAUAAGGAUAAAUUUUCUUUAGAGGAGUAUAAAUGGUAAAAGGAAGAUGGCAAAGGUAAGCUGGAAACAUAUAUGUAAGCCAAAGGAGAAGGGAGGAGCAGGAGUGGUGAAUCUCAUAAUUAAAAAUAGAGCUUAUUAGCAAAAUAGAGUUGGAGAUUCGCGGUUGAAAAAGACGCGCUGUGGCGAAAACUCAUCCUAGCAAGGUAUGGUUAGCGCACGCAACAGUGGCGCUUUAGGACGACUAAUCUAAAAAAUAUGUCGAUUGUAUGGAGAGGUAUUGUAGAAAAUUCUAAAGACGCUAAUUGUAAUACCCCUAACCCUUAUCCAUCACCAGAAUAGGGUUAUAAAGCUUUACCAGACUUUUCAAAAUCAAACACGAUCAUUUCAUAACAUUUAGUAUACAUAUUAAAAACUAUUCAUAUAAUACUCAUAUUGUCCCUUAUAUAGGCCCUCAAGGCCCAAAAUACACUUUAGAAGUGAGUCGGGAUUAAACCGGACACUCUAGAAAUUUUUCGCGAAAUGUCAAAAUUUUCCUUAGAAAUAAGGAACACACGCCCGUGUGGCCAAGCCGUGUGGCUCACAUGGCCUGAAGACAUGCCCAUGUCCUAAGCCGUGUGGGCAUUCAAUGUGAGGCACACGGCCGAGUCCCAGCCCGUAUCCUUACCCGUGUAAUUCUCUGACUUGUGUCACAUGGCCAACCACACGCCCUUGUGCUAGGCUGUGUGCAAAGUACAGGGGUCACAUGUCUGUGUGCUAGGUCGUGUGUAAAAACCUAGGCAUUCUGUUUUGAAAUUUCAAGGUGCAGGGGACACACGGCCAGAUCACAUGCCCAUGUGCCAAGCCGUGUGUCACACACGGCUGAGACACACGCCCGUGUCUCUGCCCGUUUGGACGAAAAUAGGCCAUUUUAAGGCCACUUUUCUCACCUUUUUUGACAUCAACCUAUAGACAGCAAUUCAAUAUACCAAAUAUCCCUAAUCAAGCAAUAAACACAAGCCAAAAAUCAUGUUUUAAGCAUAAUAAGCUAUCACGAAAUUCAAUUGUCUAAAUUUGCCAAACUAACUUCAUUCAUUGAUUUACCAAAACCUACUCCUAGCUAUAUACAUACAAACACACGCAUAUAUAUAUAAUUGUCAUUCAUAAUUAUACUCCAAGUAUAGCCUUUUUCAAUCCAUCCCUAUACAUGCCGUAUAAACCAUAAAAUGUACAACAAAAUCUACCGGAGUAAUCUAGAUAGUGUGACCCGAUGUGUUGAUUCGAACUUCUUGAAAAUCUACAAAGAACAUUAAACAACACAAGUAAUCUUAAUGAAGCUUAGUAAGUUCGUUGGCUUAAUACAUAAAUCUUACCGAACAUACCAUGACAAUUCAUUUAAGUAAAUCGUUCAUUACACAUUUCCUGCCAACUACAACUUUAAUCGAUGAAUUCGCUUCUUUGAGCUCAAUAUCAAUAAUAACCUAAAUUCUUCCACAUUAAUUCCAUAUAGCACUUGCCACUUCUUGUCAAUCAAAGAACGAUUUACGGAUUUGAGUACAUCGUAAACAAAAGCCCAAAGGUUGCACGAAAGAACAUAAGUGCUAAACUGAAACCUAUAAGGGUUGAACGAAAGCUCAUAAGAGCUAAAUGGAAACCCAUGAGGGUUAAACUGAAGCUCAAAAGAGCUGAACUAAAACUCAAAAGGGUUAUACUAAAGCUCAAAGAGCUAAACGGAAACCCAUUAAGGUUAAACGGUAACUUGUAUAAGUUAACUAAAGCUCAUGAGAGCUAAACGGAAAGUACACACGAAAUUUUGCAACAAAUGCUGAACCUUGAUUUACUUGGGUAAUUUACCGUCAAUUCCUCAUUUACACAGAACGACCUUACUCAAUCCGGCAUUCUGUUUGCUUCAAACAUUCAAUUCAAUUUCAUAACUUUAACAAUAAUAUUAUUUUCAACAAAUGACAUGAAUAAAUACAUAAUGUCAUUCAUCAAUUUAACAGUUAACAUUUAAAUUUAACCAUACGAACUUACUUGGGCUAAAUUGUAGAAUUCGUAGUAAUUCGGGGACUACUCAGCUAAUUUAUCUUUUUCACGAUUUUCUUCAGGCUCUUGAUCUAUAAUAUAAAAUUGUUCAUUUCUCAGUAUCUAAAUCAAUUCUAAUUCAUUUCAGAACUUAUGCCCUUUAAUUUUUGAAAUUACACAUUUGCCCCAACUUUUACAUUUUUUACAAUCUAGUCCCUCAUCAAUUUACCCAUCAAUUAAGCUAAUUUUUCUCAAUUAACACUUUAUCUAAUUAUUUUAAGUUACCAUAUACCCUUGAUAUUUAGAAUUUUAACACCAAACCCUAAUUCUUAACCUUUUUACAAUUUGGUCCUAAUAUCAAUAUCUAUCAAAAUUACUUAUUAAAAUCAUUAUAUAACAAAAUUAAAGCUUAAAUUCCAUGAUAAUUCAUCAUAAAAAUCCAUCAAUCAUCAAUGGUAACUUUUGAAAUUACCCAUAGAAUCAAAAACUAAUGAAAUAAGUAGUCGGACCUAAUUGUAAAAGUCUCAAAAACACAAAAAUUUCAAGAAAAGAGCAAGAAUUAAACUUACAUGAAGAUAAAAUAUGAAAACCAGCCUUGAGAGCUUUUCAAUGGUGUUUUUGGCUAAAGAAAAGUGAAGAAAUGUCUAGAGAUUCAAUUUAGUCCAAUUUUAACUAUUUAAUUUUAUUUCUUUUCCAAUUUUGCCCCUUGUUCACACUUAUCCUUUGAUUUUUUUCUGCUUGUACCGUCCAAGCCUUUCACUUUGGGCUAAUUUUCCCUUUUAGUCCUCCCUUAUUAAACACUUAAGUUAUUUAAUCAUUUUAGCAAAUUUUGCACAUUUUUCAAUUUAGUUCUUUUUAAUUAAUUAACCAUCAAAACGUUAAAAUUUUCUAACAAACUUUUGAUAGUAACUCAAUGACACUCCGUAAAUAUUUCUAAAAUUAUUUACAGCUCAGUUUAUAAAUUUUAGGCCUCGAUACCUCGUUUUCAAAACCACUUUUCUUAAAAUUCUUCUAAAACACAAACCACCAAAUCAAAAAUCUUUCUAAAAUCACACUUGACUCGUAAAUAAUAAUUAAUAAAAUUUUCAAACUCACUCGUCAGAUUUAGUGAUCUCGAAUCACUAUUUUUGACACCACUAAAAGUUGGACUGUUACACUAAUGUUUCUAAAUGGGUGGGGAACAAAGCUUUUAGAUGGAUGGUUGGGAAUGGAAGGAUGGCGAUGUUUUGAGAGGAUAUUUGGUGUUGUAAUCAACCACAAAAAAAAAAGAAUUUCCUAGAGUUUUUCGCUUAGCAAGAAAAAAGAAAGGUAUGGUAACAGAUUACUCGAGCAACAAUGGUUUCAGCAAUAUGAAUUACGGUGAAUUCUAACGAAGCUUUUAGAUGGAUGGUUGGGAAUGGAAGGAUGCGAUGUUUUGAGAGGAUAUUUGGUGUUGUAAUCAACCACAAAAAAAAAAGAAUUUCCUAGAGUGUUCCGCUUAGCAAGAAAAAAGAAAGGUAUGGUAACAGAUUACUCGAGCAACAAUGGUUUUAGCAAUGUGAAUUAUGGUUAAUUCUUUACACGAACAUUAUUGGAUAGAGAGGUUGUGAUGCUUCGUAGAUUGGAGGAUAUGGUGAAAAGCAUGGAGUUAGUUCUAGAGGUGAAGGAUCAGCUAAAUUGGGUGCAUGAUAGUAAUGGGGAGUUCACGGUAAAGAAGUUAUCUAACUUAUUAAUUAAGGUUGGAGGGGAAGACAUAAGUUUUGCUUUUGAAAAAAAUUGGAAGUUAAAGGUACCACCGAGAGUGCGAAGUUUUCUAUGGAUGCUUGCUAUUGAUAGAUUCCUACAAAUGAAUUUCUUGUUAAAAGAGGGGUAUAGCUUCAACACAUUUCAAUCAAAUGUGCAUAGUAUGAAAGAGUACCAGAGAGAGCAGAUAAUCUAUUCUUCAAAUGCAAAUAUAUUGAAGGGUUUUCGUAUAAAUUUUUCAAAUGGUGGGAGGUUGAAUGGAAAUCGGUAGAACGAUUUGCUAAUUUUAUUCUUUGUGUUAUAAUGUGAAAUUGUUAGGAAUCCGAAGAAUGUUAUGGUUGCUAUCAAUUUCGGCAGCUUGCUGGUCAGUGUGGACAGAAAGAAAUGAAAUUGUCUUCGAAAGAAAGGUGAUGACUAUGGAAGCUUUGAUAUUUCAAUCCAAGAUGAGGGCAAUGUUGUGGAUAAGGGUUGUAUAUGAUGAGUUAAUGGUGCAGGAGAGCUCUUGGUGGAUUUGUCCGAACAAGUGCAACUUUAAUACAAUUAAACCAGAUCCUCUUCGUCGAUAUGGCGCCUUCCUCCACAAGGCUAUCUGAAUUUCAAUGUAUGCGGGAUAGUAAAUGAGAAAGUUGCAGGUUGUGGUGGAGUACUAAGAGAUAUGGAGGGUGUUGCAAGAGCUUUAUUUUCGGGUCCUAUUGCAGCUAAUGACGCAGAUUCAGUAGAGGUAGAGGCAGUGUUUAUAGCAUUGGAUUUGUUGUUAUCCAUGGGAUGGAAGAUUAAUAGCUCUCUUAUUGUAGAAAUUAGUUCAAAAAUGGUGUACAAUUGGUGUCUGAACAAGAAUAUGAGACUGUGGUCGUUACAAACAACAUUUUCAGAUAUUGAAAGGAAAAUUGAGCAGGUUGGUAGUGUAGUAUUCUUGAUGGCAGAUCAAAAGGUAAUGAAAUGGCUUCAACCUUGGCGAUAGUAGGUAUUAAUCGUGGUGACAUGUUUAAAGCUUGUUAGUGAGUAUUAGCUUUGAUUUCGAAUAAUAGUUUUCAAUUGUAGGAAAUGUUUCAUUGUGGUAUUUUGUAAGUUGUACCUUUGAAUGUUGUUCUUGUUGUAUUUACAAUAGAUUAGUUUGAAUGAAGCAAAAAAAAAGUUGGUGGGUACCGUGUGCCCCCUCUCUUCACGCCUUACUAUAUAAUAAUAAUAAUAAUAAUAAUAAUAAUAAUAAUAAUAAUAAUAAUAAUAGACAAGCUUAAGAAUAUAAAAAGCCUUUACUCAUUGCCUAAGAUAAAAUUUAAUCCUCAUUAAUAUCUUAAAGAGAAAUCUUUCUAAAUAAUAAUAAUAAAAUAAUCCUAAAUUUUAAAUGUCUUGUAUGUCAACUUCUCAAUCCAACGAUAAAUUUACUUUUUUAUAUUGUACUCUAACACUUCGAACAUGCGCUAUAUUUAUAUAGAAAAUAGUCAAUAAAAUACCAAAGUAGUAACAUCCAUGUCCAAAAUUAAUCAGAAUAAAUCAUUAAAAAAAUGUCUAUUAAGAACAUUAUCAAAUCCCCCCUUAAUCAAUACUUGCCCUUAAACAUUUUAUGCAUUCAUCAUCUAAACAUAUCACAAUCAUCAAAGCCAAUUCAAUUUUCACAGUCCUUAGUUCAAUAAAAAAAAUAAGCACUAUCAAAAUUUUAACCCUACAACCGUCUCGCUCAAGCAAGCACAUAGAUUAACAAUUUAUGAUAAGUGCUAAAAGUAACAUAUUUUAACCUCGUUCUAUAACAUCUCAAAAUUGGGGGUUAGAAGUUUUGAGGUUUGUAGUGAGGGUCAGCGAGUAGGUCGAACAAUUGGUUUUAUUUUCGCUUUUUAAUAUCAAAAUGAGCUUGUUGGUUUGAUGGUAGAGUAUGUUACUAGUUUCCCUUGGACGAGUGUUUGAAUCCCAAUGUGAGAAUAAAGGAAGUUUUGUUUUAAUUUUAUUUAUAUUUUUUAUUUGAAAAAAAUAGAAGAAAAUCCUAAAAAUUUCUCACGUUCUCCACUUUCUCUUUCACAUCAGUCUCCCUCUUUCGGUAAAGAAAAAUUAUAGAUUCUGAUUUUCUUUCUUUUCUUUAUUGGGUUUCAAUACUUUUGUAAACCGCUGCCUUAAAAUCCUGGUGGUGCUUUUGUUCUUCGUUUGAUCAGACGUCGAAUAGGUUUAUUCGGUUAAUACUUGGUAAUUUGAUAUAAAUUUUAGGUCGAAAUUGUUUAUAGCUUUAGUAUGUUUGCAGAACUGAGUUUCAGGUCGUUAGAGUAAAGGCGAAGUGGUCGGUUCUUGGUGCUCUGGAACAUCAAUCAGGUGUGUGUUCUGAAAAUGUUUAAUUUUGGUAUCGAAUUGCUAUUGGAUUCUAUGGAAUUCAGCAGUUUCUAGUGUGUUUAUGAAAUUGUGUGAAUUCGGUAACGAAUUGUUGUUGGAUUUUAGGGAAAUAUGCAAAAUUCUGAUGUGUCUUGAAUGGUUAGCGAUUUGGGGUUUGUUUUGCUGUUGUGAAAUUGCAAUUUUAGCUUGUUUCGGUGUGGUUUCUUUACCACAUGGGCGUGUGCCGCACACGAGUAGUCCACACGGUCGUGUGACAUUGGAAAUUUGGGAUUUUGGACUUUUUUUAGUGCCACACGGUCGUGUGGCAGCUAUUUAGGGAUUUUUGUGUGCCUUGGACACACGGUCGUGUCCCUUAGCCAUACGGGCAUGUGAGAUUCCCACACAGCCCUGUUUACUUUGCUCCUUAUUUUGACAUUUUUGGACAGUGAGUGACAUUAAUUAUUCACACGACCAUGUAACUCGGUCGCACGGGUAUGUGUCUCCUCCACACGAGAGUGUACAGCUUGCACACGGGCGUGUAGACCACCACACGACCUAGUAGACCUCCACACAACCUAGGCACUACCACACAGCCGUAUGGCCCUGUUUUGCAAAUUUUUGUUCAGUGUUGAAAUUUUGCUCGUUUUGUGUUUCUGUAUAUUUCAACCCUUGGUUAAGUCUUGGUAACUGUAUUUGGGACUCCGCUGCAAUAUGGAUUUAAGUGUGUAUGUAUGUGUUCAGUUUAGGUAAUCAGGAAAUGUAUUAAUGGAUUAUGAUGAAUGAGCUUGAAUUGCUUACUUGUUGUCGUAAUUCUGAAAUAUGUACAAACGCUAUUGAUUUUGAAAUUGUUCGGCUGAAUGUGAGUGACGGUCUCUGUGAGUCUAUUAGCGUAUGUUGUGCAUUCAUGCAUUUGCAUAAAAUCGAGGUUUUUAGUUGCGAAGAGAAGGAAGGCUGAUUGGGUAGUUCAACUGCAAUAUUUUUGUACAGCAGUUUACCGUAAUGAUUUAUACAUUUGUCAGCUAAGCUACAUAUUGUUAUUCGAGUGGCUUAGUUCCACAAUAUGUGGUGUGUAGGGUAGAUGGGCCUAUCAUGGUCCUAUGUCGUGUGCAGGGUGGACGGGCUUGAUAUAGCUCAUAGGUGGUGUGCAGGGUGGUCGAAGUGGUCUUCAGAUGGUUGGGGUGGGUUUUUGACUCGUUACAUUCGCUACGCAUCUAAAUAUAUGUUUGUUUAUGUGAGCAUUGAGGUGUUGGAGAUAUGACCAUUAUAACUUGAUGUGUUUUAUCUAAUAUGUGGUUUGGUAUGCUUUAAAAGCACCAUGUUAUUGAAUUACCCAUUGAGAUUUCCAUUUAUGAUUUGUGCUCAUAUACUGUUUUGGAAUACUCGAUGUGUUACUCCGUUUUGUUGAUUGCUUUUGAUUUCAGACUCACAUUGAGCUCAAGUAGCUCACCUCACCUUAGUGUUUCAUUCUUCGAGGUACUUUUCGUGUUCGAAAGCUGGACUCGGCAUGCCGGAGGUUUCAGACUAUCGAGUAAAUUGAUUUUGGUUCAAAUGAUGCUACUUAAAAAUUCAGUUGUUAUUUUCAAAUGGUUCGUAGGAAAGAUUAUAAAAAAUGUGGUAUGAGUUAAGUCUGGAUUUUCGAUCAACUAGUUGUUACGGUUUUAAACAAUUUAUAUGUUCCGUUAUAUCAAGGUUUCGAAAUUUUGGUUUGUGAAUGACAAAUUUAUGCUUUCAGAACUGUCAAAUGAUUCCAUAAGAAUUACUUCCGACUUGCGUCGAAUGCCAUUUAAAUGAUUCCAUAUGAAUUACUUCCGACUUGCGUCGAAUGCCAUUUAAACUUUGUUUCAAAAUUUAAUUAAGUGUUAUCUAACUUUCUAAAAUUACAUGCUUGUGACAGAGUUUUUAUCUCAACCACUUUAGGUGGUCAAUGUGACCUCCGAGAUUCGGUCUAAACUUUUAGGUCGGGUUUUAGGGUGUUACACAUUCUUAGUGUGUUUUUGGGUGAUUAUUCAAUGUUAAUGGUGAAUUUUAUGCUUCUAAUCCUUCAAAUUCUUAUUUUUAUGCUUAAAAGGGCAUUUGGGAGUAAAACAAGCAAAAAUUGGAGUAAGGUACAAGAGACACACGGGUUGACCCCUUCCACACUUCCUGAUAUUUAAAAUAAUCUAGAAAUAUAACCGAUUUUGAAAUAAAAUUUAAACAGAUUCUGAAAAAAAUUUUAACAGAUUCCCUAAAAAUCGUGGUUUUUCGCAUUUCAAAGUGCAAUUCUGCAAAAUUGACAUGACCUGCCACAUUGAAGCUGAUUUUGAAGUAGAUUUCUGUCAAGAUUGAAGACUCCCAGUUGAUUUCUUUGGAGAUUAUCAUUUCUUUAUUUCUUUCGGUUAUAUUAUAUCUUUGAUGUUUUUAUUUUCAAGCAUGAACUAAUUUUCUAAAUACAUAGGGAGAUGAACCCUAGGAUGGAUUCUGUCGUUUGAUUUUUAUUUUGCUCAAUAAAUACUUAGAUCUUAAUUCUUGAUAUAAUAUUUCUAGAUUAUUUAUCCAUGUUUGGUGUGCUUAAAUCAGAGGAGGAAUAGACCCUGUUUAAGAGUAGAUCUUGCGUAAUUGAGUGGAUUUGCAUGCAAUCCUAGACAUAAGACAACAUAAAUCUAUCGAAUUAGAGUCAAAUCUAAUAAGGGAAUUCAUAGCACAAGUUAAUGCGAUAAUAGGGGUUUUAAUUAGAAAGAAAUUUCAAUUAAUCAAUCUUGAGUUAGUUGCUCUUAUUCUCGAAAGAAAUAUUUGUAUAAUCUAGGGAUUUUUACAAAUCAAGUUGCUAAGUAAAGAAAUUGCGUAACUUAGAUUGAUAACGACAGAUGAAACCUAGAUGAGUAUUGUUUCGCUUCUUGGUUGUUAAUCGCUUAUUUUUCUGAUAUAUUUUUUGUCACAUUCUUUAGUUAGUUAAUUUAGUUAAUUUUAAUUUUAAUCAAUCACUCAAAUUUAUCGGUUAAAUAAUAAAAAGACAGUAUUUACUAGUACUUUUAGUCUUCGUGGAAACGAUAUCUUUAUUCACCGUAACUAUAUUGUUAAUUGAUACGUACACUUACCUUAGUCAAAUUUUUAGUUGUUCACGACACAUCAAUUCAAUUAAGCAUACAAUUAUUAAAUUAUCUCAUAAUUAAGCUGCACAACAUUAACUUACGUUAAAUUGUCAAGACACCAAAAUUAACAACCAUUUGUCCCAUAUUUUUGUGUUCAUUUUUUUUUCUUUUAAAAGUUUAUCUAGAGUGUCACGAGAUCUUUUUCCAUGAAAAAGGAUGACAAUCCAAACACUCCACUCCGAUUAAUCAAUUCACCACAUGUUGACUAACUUUAGUCAAAAUUGUUAAGAUCAAUAGAAUAGCUGAAUAGCUUAGAAUGUCACUAAAUCUUUUGACGUGAAGACAAAUGACAACCUAAGCACUUGACUCAAGUUACUCAAUCGAUCACAAUUCUAAGACUUUACUCAUAAUUUAGGCAAUUAAUGAGUAUUUAUUAAAUUAUUUUAUUGAUUAUUUUUUUCAAUUUUUUUUUGUUCGAAUGCAAGAUGAAACAUGUUUUAAGAGUAUUAAUCUCGUUAAAAAUUGCGUGAGCCUAAUUUUUUUUUUUUUGGUGAGUGCUUCAGCUAAGUAAUUAAUAAUUAUUAUUAUUUACUUUAAAAUAAAAUAAAAUUCAUGUAAAAGAGUAGCAUAUAUAGGCAGAGUAUUUAAACAUGCUUAAUAGAAAAUAUUCUAUCAAUUUUUGAAUCGCUUAAACAAUAAAAUGAUAUCUAAAUUAUAUUAAUUUUUUAAAAUUGGUAUUUAAAUUUUUCUUAAGUCAAAAUGGUACCUAAACAAUUAAUCUAUUAUCUAUUUAAUUCAGCCAAUCAAUUGCCACGUAAAUAUCUAUUUAUUUUUUUCAAAAUAUUACUAAAAUUUGAUAAAUAAAAUUAAAAAUAGUUAAAAAUAAAACAUCAUAAAUUUAAUAAAAUUUAAACCUUACGAAAAAAACAUUUUACUGAUUGAAAAAACAUCAUAAAUUAAUGCUACCAACAACUCCUAGAAAGAGUAUCCACUAAUAACAAUAAACUUACAUGAGUGAGGGAUUUAUUGAAACAAUCAGCAACCAAUUUUGACACUUUUUACCAAUUAUUUUAUAUAUUUAUUUUUUAUUAUUAUUAAAAAAAUUAAUUUAACUCUUUAAAAAUUACAAAGAUAUAGACUAUUAAAAUGAUGAAAUUAUUUAUUAUUAUUAUAAAAAUAUACAAUUUAAUUUCGACCUCCCAAUAAAUAUUUCAAAAUCCGCCACACGAAUGAUCCAAAUAAAAAGACGACAGUCAAUACAAUUAAAUUUAAAUUCUCACUUAAAUCCAAAUUCAAAGUAAAACAAAUGUGACAGAAUGAAUCAAAUAGUGGGAGAAUGUUUUUCAAGAAGUAGAAAUGCAAAAAUAGCUUCAAAAUCUACUCUUACUAAAAAAAAAGAAAAAUAAGAAAGAAUUUAUUAUCUUUUAUACUAUUAAUCUCUCACAUAUACGGCCAAGCUACUCUGAACGUACAACGCACCCAUUUGCGUCAUUGCAAACGCAAUUUUGGUCCUUAUGCUAUAAUAAAGGGGGAAAUGAUUCUGGUUUAGACAAGAAAAAUGAAUGCGUUGAUGAAGCUUCUAAUUCUUGCUCCAUGUUGUUUCUUCUUCAUAGCUUUAAUAAAGUUACUUUAUGAUUACCUAUGGAUACCUCUCCGUAUUCAGCAUAUGCUGAAUUCACAGGGGAUCAAAGGACCUCCUUACAGAUUCAUCCAUGGCAACAACAUGGAAGUUACCAAAAUGAAACAAAAUGCUUUAAGCAAAUCUGUGGCCUUGACAGAUGAUCUAUUUCCCAAAGUACAUCCACAUAUUUACACCUGAACCAACAGAUAUGGUAAGAUCCAUGCUUGUUUUUUUCACUAUGAUUUAUAACUUGUAGUUCUAAGAAAAGGUAGACCCUUUUUCUUUUCAUGUUAUUAGGGAAGAAUUUUGUUUAUUGGAACGGUGCUCGAGCUGAAUUGGUGAUUUCAGAGCCUGAAUUAAUCAAAGAGGUUCUGGAAAAUAGUGAACAAAUUUUUCAGAAAAAGAAACCUUCAGAUAUUGGUGGGAAGUUCUUGGGGAAUGGUCUUCUAUUCAUUGAGGGGGAAAAAUAGCCAAAGCAUCGAAAGCUGGCCAAUCACACUUUCCAUGGGGAAAGCCUAAAGGUAAGUCUUCCAAAUAUAUAAACCAGGUGCAAUUAAUUUACAAGAAUUAUACAUAGACCACAAUAUUUUGGUAAAAUUUUGUAUUGUUAGCUAAGGAUAAGUUUAUUAUGGACGUUGAAAAAGUGUAGUAAAAACAUACUUUCGAAGAUUUUAACACCAUUUACUACUUAGGAGGUCAAUUUUAAACUUGAUGCUGUAAAAUAAAAGAUUGAAUCAGAGAUUUAAAAAAAGUAAUUUCAUUAAAAAGCACUCUUUUAGCUUUUAGACUUGGAUUAAAAUCUAGUUUGAAAUAAGAUUUAGUUUGAAAAGGUGUUUAUUUGUCAAAUUUUUUAAUUUAAAAUCAUGAUUUUGUGUUAAAAAGUGUUUUUCAGACUCCAAUUAUAUAUGUCACUAUUACUUACAUGUUGGAGGAUUCUUUGGGCAGAACAUGACUCCAGCAAUAAUUGCUAGUGUUGAAACAAUGCUAGAAAAGUGGAAAGGCCAAGAAGGCAAGGAGAUUGAAGUGUACCAAGAAUUUAGGUUAUUAACUUCAGAAGUGAUUUCCAGAACAACAUUUGGUAGCAAUUACAUGGAAGGGGAGAAGAUAUUUGCCAUCUUGAGCAAGUUGGCAGUAAUUAUGAGUCGAAAUGUUUCCACGACUAGAAUUCCUUUGAUCAGGUAUCUUCCCUCUAAGCUUAAUUAAUCCCAACUUUUACCUUGAUUUCAUGUAGCCUUUGAAUGCAACUUUUAGACUUUCAUUCCCCGUGGAUUUGGUUUUCUCAUAUAUAGCUGACCCUGGUUUGCUUUUGCAGCAAGUUGUGGAAAUCUGCUGAUUUGCUAGAGUCUGAAAAACUUUCAAAAGAAAUGAAAGAUCGUGUGAUGAAGAUUGUUAAGAAAAGAGAAGACAAAGUUGUGAAUGGAGAAGUCAAUAGCUUCCGCAGUGAUUUUCUUGGAUUACUUCUAAAUGCCUAUUAUGAUUCGGAUGCGAAAAACAGGCUUUCAUUGGAAGACGUGGUAGCUGAAUGCAAAACACUCUAUUUUGCUGGACAAGAAACUGUUAAUUCCUUACUUGCAUGGAUAGUCUUGCAUUUGGCAAUCCUUGGAGAUUGGCAAGAAAAAGCGAGAAGAGAGUUGGUUGACAUAUUUGGUAACCAAAAUCCACAUCUCGAAGGCAUCGCCAAACUCAAAAUAGUAAGAAAACUAUAAAACUGGGAAUUCAAAUAGCCAUCGACAUGAUGUAAUCUGACAUAUUAUUCUAUUUUCCAAACAGAUGACCAUGAUCAUCAAUGAAGCUCUAAGAUUGUAUGGUCCAACAAAUGUCCUCCAAAGAACAGGUACAAGAGAAAUUCAGUUGGGAAAGCUAAUCUUGCCUGCUAAUAUAGAUAUUCUGCCUUUAAGUAUUGGACUUCACCGGGACCCUCACUUUUGGGGAAAUGAUGUGCAUCAUUUUAAACCUGAGAGAUUCGCUGAAGGGAUUGCCAAAGCUACCAAUUACACCGCGGCUGCCUUUUUCCCCUUCGGAUUAGGACCUCGAUCUUGUGUUGGUAUGACAUUUGCAAUGAUAGAAACCAAGAUUGCUCUCUCCAUGAUUCUACAACGCUACACCAUUACCCUUUCCCCUGCCUAUGUCCACUCUCCAGUACUUAUUCUUACCCUUCAACCCCAAAAUGGAAUUCAAGUAAUACUUGAGCCGAUACAUAGUAAUGCUUGAAGUACAUAGCCGUUAAGAACUAGAGGUUUAACAUGGUUCGUGAAUUCUACUUUUAAGAGAUGAUAUUUAAUAUGUUUAAAGGUUCUAGCAUUUAUCACAAAGACAAACGACUCGUGGUCAUGUUUACUUUUCAUCUAUCAUGCAAUGUCGAUGAGAAGAUACCAUUUACCAAUUAGUUGGGUUAUGAAUUCUACUAUUUUGAAUGAUGUUACAUACUAUAGAAGUUGUGUAUCCAGUGCACCAACUUUUAAUGGUUCUUUAUCUUAGCCUUUUACUUGCAUCAAAGUAUACGAGCCAUGCAUGCAUAGUCCAUCAUCCACUCAAGAUUAAGGUAUAUCACACUAUGAACAUCACAAGUAAAUAGAUCCAUAAAUGGAUUUAGAAUCGAUUCUCCUUGGGUCUUAUCUGAUGUACUGUCAGUCCAGUCAAUCACAUCUAUGUUUUUAUCUUUUAGGAGUCAUCUGUUCCAUUUGAGACAAAGCUUCUCCACAAUUGGGCUUGAUAGACGACAUAUUAGUUUCUCAAUCGAUUUGCUCAUUUUCAAUUAGACUAAGGACAUAUUUAGGUUUAUCUACUAAUACAAGCUAUCUUUUCAUAUCACGAUCUGACCACGUGAUACCGCUUAGUAUUAAUUUAAACAUUAGAUAACCAAUGAGUCAACAUUUGCUUCCAUUUUGCUUUGCAUGCAAAAACAUUGAGGACAAUAUCCAAAGGGUAUUACUUUAAUUAAUAGAUAUUAUUAAACCAAUUUGUUUGAAAAAUACAAUUAUAUAAAACGAACAUAGUACACUUAGUGUACCAGAUCCAACAGUGGCCACUACAGCUAGCAUUGCCAUUAUAAGCAACAUAACUUGACAUUUUUGGAGUUGAAAUCUUUUCAGCAAAAUCAGUUGGGCAACGACUUAGAUGAUUUUGUGGACAUGUGUUGGCUCAUAUUUGAAGAUCCAUUUUGUGGAAUCAAUCUUUGAAUAUUAAAUCAAUCUGAAUCAAGCAAAUUGGAUCACUUAUUUUGUGGAGAUUGGCUUGACUUAUUUGAAAAUUUAUUUUCGAAAUCUUUGAUUUAUUCUUGACUUUGAGGAUAUUUGUAAAGUUUUUUUUUACAAGGCUAUUUUUUGUGGGAUAUUGAUUCUAAUUGAUCUUUUAUCUUUGCAAACAUUAAAUUCUUAUAUAUUAGAGGCUUGUAUAAGUUAAAAAAAGAUAGAGUUUUUAUAGCACUUAUUUUUUUCAUUGAGGAACUUGUAUUUGAUAGUGCAUUAAGAGUGUAAAUUAAGUUUGUUGCUUGGUUUUACAACCAAAAUUCUCAAGGGAAUUUAGUGGUGAGUGAUUUAGAUCUUUAGAUACAAAAGUGAGGUUGCUAUACCGAGUUGUGAUAGGACUUCAAUAACUUGUUGUCUUGGGAUUAAAAAUAAUGAAUUUACUCACUAAGUUAGGUUUCAUAGACAUAGAAAAAUCGAUAUGCGUAAACAAUCAUUUGUGUUCCAUUUUUUGUUGUUGUGUUCAUCAUAGUGGCAUCAAAGGUUGCCACUACAGCCAUCACUUUGGUCAUCAAUUACGCACUUUAUUUUUUUAAGCAAUUAUCAACUUUAUGCUCCAAGAGAAUGCUUGUUUCUAGUACAAUUGAUCAAUUUUGUAGGAAGCAUAAUGACAAAAAAGAAAAUGGUUACAAUCAACCCCUUCUGUAACAACUCCAUUUGUAUCUUUGCAUGUUAUAAAAAGGUGGUUGUUAUAUACUAUAACAACAUGUUGUUAUAAAAAGAUAAUUAUUGUAAACCUAAAAUAGAAUUUAUAUCGUGAAUUACUAUCAAAUAAAGAAAUUGAGAAUUAUAUUAAAAAAAGGAAAGUAGAAAUCAAAUCAACAAAAUUAAAAGAUGUAUAAUAGGUGCAUGCAUUAUUACCUUUAUAUUUUAUUUUACAUUUUUCACAUGAUUAAUUAUAAAAUUCAUCAAUCUAACAAAUAAUUAAUCGAUAUGAGUUUAAAUUAAAUUAAAUUAGUUAAUUUAUCAUGUGUUAUUAAAUACAAGUAAUUAAUUUAUAAGAUUAUGAUGUUCUAAAUUCAUAGUAAAUUAAUAUUUAAUUAGAGAACUUAAUAGUUUAUUGAAUUGAUAUCUUUAAUUCCACGAAGAUUUUUCAUGUCAAAUUUAAACAUUUUAUUAAAAUAAUAUUUUAGUUAAGAUCAUUUUUAUUUAAUAAAUUAGAAUUCAUAUAAGCAAUAUAAUUAAUCAUAAUAAAUUAUAAUUAAUAGGCUUGUAUAUCGGUCCAGUGUAAUUAAUAGACUUGCUUAAAUGAGUUUUAAAAUAUAUUUUUAAAUUUAAAAUUUUAUUUCUUGAAUAAUGAAUUGUUACCUGCUUAAUUUAUGAAAUAUCUUUAUUGACUUAUUUGAUUGCAUUGGUGAAACAAUUAUUUUAGUAUUUUUAAAUUUUAUGUAUAUAAAAUUUUUAAAAAAAUAAUAAUAAAUCUAAAAUGACACAUCGAAACAGCUGAAUAUUGGCACAUGCGAAUACCAAUAAAAAAAUCAACAUCCACCAAUUUACCCGUUACUUUUUGGUAUUAGGUAGUGGGAGAUUUGGUUUUUGCUUUUGUUUUUGAGAUGUUGAUAUGUUUCACAUCAUCCAUAAGAUGGGCUCUACCUCACCUUUUGUUUGUCUGUUUCCCAUGCUUUCCAUACAAAUCACUAAAAGAAUGGGCUAAAAUGUCAAAUAAACUCUUCAAAAAUAAUUUUUAAAAAACUUAAUUAAGUCUCUUAUAAUAAAGUGCACCAAAUUGAGCUUUUUUAAAUCACAAUUUGCACUUAAUUAAUCCCCUUGAAUUCAUUUUCCCAUUGAAUCCCUUUACGUUCAGUUAACUGCUGACGGGGCAGGUGAUGUGGAAAAAUGAUGGUGUGUUAAUUAGUUUAUAUGGCAAGCUAACAUGGAGGGCUUAAAUGAUUUUUUAUUAUUUUACAAGGGUUUAAUUAAUUAUUUAAAUAAAAAUUAUUAAAAUUUUAAAAAAUCUAAUUUUAAAAUAUAAAUUAUAAAAAUCAUAAAAAAUAUUUUAAAAAUAUUAAAAAUGAUAGAAAAUUUUUAAAUGUUAUAAAUAGUUUAUAAAAACACAGGAAAUUUAUUAAAACAUCGUUAAAUAUAAAUACAUUAUCAUAAAAAUAGCAUAAAAUUUUAGAAAUUAUUAAAAAAUACAAAGAAAUACGAGUAAGUUAGAGAAAAUUAUUAAAAAUACAAAAAAUAUUAAAAAUUAGUAGUAACUUUUAUAAAAAUUAUUAAAUAGAUUUUUUUAUUGGUUUGGAGUGUUUGGCAUUUUCAAUUUUAUUUUUUUGGACAUUAGAGUCUUUGGUUUUAGUAAUAAGGAAAUGGGGAGAUUGAAGUGCGAUGAUCAAACUUGUGAGGGGUUUGAGUGACCAUGGGUUUAGUACUUGAUGGCUUAAAGUGAGCGAUCAAUAGAGGUGUUCAUGGACCGAUCCUGUUCAAAAAAUAAAAAAAAUGUUAAAGAAAGCUUUUCUAAAUAUUUUAUAUAUCUUAUAAUUAAGUUAAAAAUAUAUUUUUAUUAUUUUUAAAAUGGCGAAACGAAUCAUUUUGGCGAGCUAGGUCUAGUUGGGCUCAAGCCUAGAAAGUUUUAUGAAAUUAGGCUUAAGCUCCACCCAACUCAUGAAUACCUCUAGUGAUAUAUAAUGAUGUUGUAUUUGAGGAAAGAUGAUGCGAGGGACAUUAAUAAGGAAGGGUUGAUAUAUGAUGUAUGACAAUGCGUGAGAGAAAACAAAAAUGUGUAAUAAUUUUAAAUUUUUUAUAACUUUUUCUUUAAUUUUUAUAUUUCUUUAUAGUAUUUGAAUAGUUUUAAUAAAUUUUAUAUAUUUUUUCUAAAAAAAUUUAUAACAUUUUAUAUUUUUCUAUAUUUUAAUGUCUUAUAAUUGUUUAUAAAUUUAUAAUAAUUUUUAUGAAUUUUUAAUUUAUAUUUAAAAACUAGAUUUUUUUUUUAGAAUUUAAAAAUCGAAACAAUUGAAUAGGUGGAAUCGCUUCUUUAAAAAAUAUUUUUUUAUAUUUUUAUGAAAUUUUAAUUAUUUAUUUAAUCGUUGUUAGUUUAAGAGCCGAUUGAAUUAAGAAUCGAGAAUUUUAGACAUUGUGUCCUAACUUACGGGACGUGAUUCUUCUUCUGGAUUAACGUAGAAAUAUGCUUCUCUCUUUAAAGUUUAUUUUUCAAAAUUUUGAUAAAGGAUCGUAUUUUGAAUCUUUUUCAAGUUUUCAAUAUUCGACACUAAGACAUUAAUUAAUCAACUAGGUAUCAAUUUUGGGCGUUACGAGGGUGCUAAUCCUUCCUCGUGCGUAACCGACUCCCGAACUUAUUUUUCUAAAUUUCGUAGACCAAAACCGUUGUUUUAAUAAAAUCAAAUCGUUUAUUAAAAACAACUACUUUUCGAGGUGACCCGAUCACACCUCAUAAAAAAAAAGGAUUGGUGGGGACAUUUGUUUUCGUUUUCAAAAUCCAAGUCAAGCCCGUUUUAUCAAAAAAAUGGUUACUAGCUUUAGUCAAAAUUGUUAAGAUCAAUAGAAUAAGCGAAUAGCUUAGAAUGUCACUAAAUCUUUUGACGUGAAGACAAAUGACAACCUAAACACUUGACUCCAGUUACUCAGUCGAUCAGAAUUCUAAGACUUUACUCAUAAUUUAGCAAUUAGUGAGUAUUUAUUAAAUUAUUUUAUUGAUUAUUUUUCAAUUUUUUUCUUUUGUGAUCGAAUACAAGAUGAAACAUACUUUAAGAGUGUCAAUCUCGUUAAAGAUUGUGUGAGCCUAAUCGUUUUUUUUUUUUUUGUGAGUGCUUCAGCUAAGUAAUUAAUAAUUAUUAUUAUUUACUUUAAAAUAAUAAUAAAAUUCAUGUAAAAGAGUAGCAAUGGCAUAGUAUUGAAACAUGCUUAAUAGAAAAUAUUCUAUCAAUUUUUGAAUGGUUUAAACAAUAAAAUGAUAUCUAAAUUAUAUUAAUUUUUUAAAAUUGGUAUUUAAAUUUUUCUUUAGUCAAAAUGGUAUCUAAACAAUUAAUCUGUUAUCUAUUUAAUUCAGCCAAUCAUUUGCCACGUAAAAUAUUUAUUUAUUUUUUUCAAAAUAUUACUAAAAUUCGAUAAAUAAAAUUAAAAAUAGUUAAAAAUAAAACAUCAUAAAUUUAAUAAAAUUUAAACAUUAAGGGAAAACAUUUUACUGAUUGAAAAUACCCUUAAUCAGAUUUUACUAACAAUCCCUAUUUUUUUCAAACAAAUCACAAACUCUUUUAGUUCAAAAAAUUGCAAAUCAUCUUUUUACAACCUUCAUUAAUCCUUUGUGGAAUUGAUAGAAGGGUACGUUUGAAGAAUUAAUUUGUUUUUCUUGAAACCCUUGUUUGUCAAUUUCAUUGAUGAAACCUUUCUAAUUUCAUCAGUAUUUGAUUUUUAUUUUAGGUUAAUCGUAAAACUUUAAUUGAUUUGGGCAAACCGAAGGAGUUGUAAAAAGGUUGAAAGGUAUGAUUUAGGCUUAAGGGUUCUUUUAUAGUUAAUAUGUAGAAUCGAAUGUAUGUGACUUUUGGCAAGUUGUCGGUUCUUGAAAUUUUAUAUUGAGAAAGUAGAACACACCUUUUAAGGGGAAGUUCUUUGUUUGACUCGAGAUUAUUAGUCUGUUGACAAAAAGCCAAAAAAAUGUGCCAUUUGCUUUGAAGUUAUUUAUGAUUGUUUACGAUAAAUUGAGGGUUUUUAAUGGUGUUUAUAUAUGUAUUUUGUUAAGAUACAUAAUGAUACAACUAGAGUUUGUGAUAUGUUUUGAGAUGAUAGGCUUCUCGAUUAUGUGAUUUAUUGUCCUUAGCUAAUUCAAAUAUAGAUUAAUGAGGUUGGUUUAAUAUAUGUUGUAGGGAACAACGAAAAUGGGGAAAUAUUAAAUAUUACCCUAAAACAAAUUGAUAAUUAAUAUAGUUAAAUUAAAUCCAUUUUGUUUUGGCAAAUGAAAACCAUUGGUUUUUAAAGGUUUGAGAAUUGAGGAACCUUUGCAAAACAUAAUGCAAUAUCAUCACUAAAACACUGUUUAUAGGAGCUGAGUAUAAAUACUCUUUUCAUGUCUUUGUUGUUGGGUUUUUUAGGUCUUUUUGUGACAAUUAUCAGUCCUCUCAUUUCAAUAUUUAUGAUAAUAAUACCUGUAAAGCAUGUUGGUCAUGUCUUAUUUUUACUAUACUAAAAUUUGUACUAUUGUAGUACUUAUUAUUAAAGUUCUAGUCCCGUGACAAUUGGUAUUGGACUAAGAUUUGCAGCUUUCUGUUGAGAUGAGGAAAGGAGUAGAAGAGCAGAUUGAACCCAGAGAGACCCAUGGGAGGGGCAGGAACUAUUUAUAUAUUUUUGAGAUGUUGAUAUCUUCCAGAGCCUUUUAUGACCACACACGAUAAUGGGUAAGAUAGGGUCCUACCUGACUUUUGGUUUAUCUGUUUUGAAGGGGAAAAUGGUUCUGGUUUAGAGAAGAAAAAUGAAUGCGUUGAUGAAGCUUCUAAUUCUUGCUCCAUGUUGUUUCUUCUUCAUAGCUUUAAUAAAGUUACUUUAUGAUUACCUAUGGAUACCUCUCCGUAUUCAGCAUAUGCUGAAUUCACAGGGGAUCAAAGGACCUCCUUACAGAUUCAUCCAUGGCAACAACAACGAAGUUACCAAAAUGAAACAAAAUGCUUUAAGUAAAUCUGUGGGUUUGACUGAUGAUUUAUUUCCCAAAGUACAGCCACAUAUUUACACCUGGAUCAACAGAUAUGGUAAGAUCCAUGCUUGUUUUCUUCACUAAGAUUUACGACUUGUAGUUCUGAGAAAAGGUAGACCCUGUUGGUGCUGUAACUGAAACUAACAGACUCAGCACAGACUUGUCGAGCAAGUCUCGAGACUUGCUGAGCAAACAAGAGAAUUCGAGCAAAAGAAAGGAAGAAAAGCUAAGAAAAAAUGAAUAGGAAAAUUGAUGAACAAAACUGAACUAUAUUCAUAAAAUUGAAUAAUGGCAUAAUGCCAAUACAUAAAUCAAGCACUAAGCUUGUCAAAAACAGCAAGUAAUUACCUAAACAUCACCUACUCCCACUAAUUACAUGGAAACUUGAAAUUUUAGCUUGUAAACCUAUACAAAGUUGUGUUUACAGCUCAUACAUAAGCUAAUUACAUCAGUCAACAACCUAACUUAGUUAGAAAUGAACUAAGAUUACAUUUCAUUGACUAGAAAUUACAAAAUAAACAAAAUAAGCUUGCAUCAGCAGCUCCUGUAUGUCUUGGUCUUCAUGGCCUGCAUGCUGUCGAGUUUGUUGCAUGCUGAACCAACUUCAUCACUCCUCCUUGGUUUGCAUGGAGCAAACACCUAGCUUCUUUCUUAGACAUUCGAACCUUGUGACACUAAGGGCUUUGGUUAAAAUGUCUGCAAGUUGAUCCUCUGAAUUACAGUGGAUCAGCUUUACUUCCUGAGCUUGCUCCAUUUCUCGAACAACAUGCAGCUUGAUGCUGAAAUGCUUUGUUCUUCCGUAGAACACUGGAUUUUUAGCAAUUGCUACAGCAGAUUGGUUGUCACAGAAGAUCUCAGUAGCUUCCUCUUGAUGCAUAUUCAAGUCAGCUAAGAUUUUCCUUAGCCAUAUGGCUUGGUUGACAGCACUUGCUGCGGCCACAUACUCUGCUUCAGCAGUAGAUUGAGCCACUAGACUUUGCUUCUUCGAGCUCCAGCAAAACAUGGCUAAACUAAGAUUAAAAGCAUACCCUGAGGUGCUUUUCAUGUCAUCUAUCGAGCCAGCCCAGUCACUAUCAGUGUAGCCAACCAGCUUCAGAUUUCCUUCUUUGCUAUACUUCAAACCAUAGUUCAAAGUGCCUUUGACAUAUCUCAGCACUCUCUUUGCAGCUUGGAAAUGCUUCUCAUUGCAGCAAUGCAGGAAUCUUGAGAGCAAUCCUAUAGCAUACAUGAUGUCUGGUUUAGUGGCAGUCAAGUAUAGCAAACAACCAACUAGACUCCUGUAGGUUGUUUCACAUACCUUCUCAAAAACACCUUGGCUCGAUAGUUUUUCUCUAACAGCAACAGGUGUUUUAGUUGCCUUGUUGUUUUGCAUGGAAAACUUGGUCAGAAUCUUUGUGGCAAAGCUUCUCUGGCUUAGAAAUAUCUCAUUCUGUACUUGAGACACCUCCAUUCCAAGAAAAUAGGACAUCUCCCCAAGAUCAGACAUUUCAAACACUUCCUGCAUCUUGGUCUUGAAAUCAGCCAGCACUGCUCGAUCUCCUCCUGUCACCAGAAGGUCAUCAACAUACAGGGACACAAUGAGUUGUGUUUGUGUCCAUUGUUUCUUGACAUACAGUGUUGGCUCACUCUUGCUUCGAUCGAAUCCCAGAUCAGUCAAGUAGCCAUCGAUUCUGCUGUACCAGGCCCUUGGAGCCUGUUUUAAUCCAUAUAGGGCUUUCUUCAGUUUGUAGACCAUAUGCUCUUUGCCAGCUAUUUCAAACCCUUGUGGUUGUUCAACAUAGAUGUUUUCAUCUAGGAAACCAUUCAGAAAGGCUGAUUUUACAUCGAGCUGAUGGAUCUUCCACUCGAGCUGUACUGCUAAGCCAAUCAGUAGUCUGAUGGUGUCGAGCCUGGCCACUGGUGCAAAGGUCUCCAAGUAGUCCAGGCCAUAUCUCUGACUGAACCCCUUGACUACUAGCCUUGCUUUCAGCUUAUUCAAGGUACCAUCAGCAUUCUGUUUGGCUUUGUACACCCAUUUCACCCCAAUCACCUUCCUUUUGACUGGCCUUUCAACCAAUUCCCAGGUCUGGUUCUUCUCAAUCAUGUUGAUCUCCUCAGCCAUUGCCUGCUUCCACCCUUGCUGAGCCUCAGCCUCUUCAAAGUUGCUUGGUUCAGCUAUGGCUACAUGAGCCCUUUCAUAAAUCUCAGUCAAUGGCCUUGUUCCUCUGACUGGUUCAUCAUCAAUGUCCAUUUCUGGAACAUUUUGGUCUGGCUCAGCUUGGUCUGUUGCUAGUUCUUCAGAAACUUCUUCAGGUUCAUGUCUUUCCCAGUUCCAACAUGACCUUUCAUCAAAUACCACAUCCCUACUAACUGACACUUUGUUUGUUGAAGGAUCCAAGAUCCUAUAGCCCUUCUUAACAGUGCUGUAGCCCACCAGUACAGCAGGUUGAGCCCUUUCAGACAAUUUGUCCCUUUUAACAGCAGGUACAUGUGCAUAACAAAUGCAUCCAAAGACUUUCAGAUGAGCCAGUGAUGGCUUGAAGCCAAAUCAGGCCUCGAAUGGGGUCUUCUGAUCCAAGGCCUUUGUUGGUAGUCUAUUUUGAAUGUAUGUUGCAGUGUUAACUGCUUCUGCCCAUAGUAUUCUAGGCAAAUUCUUCUGAAUCAUUAAGCAUCUGGCCAUAUCCAUCAAACUCCUGUUCUUCCUUUCACUUACACUAUUCUGCUGAGGUGUAUAUGUGUUGGUAAGUUGAUGUUUGAUGCCUGCCUUAUCACAGAAGGCUUGGAACUGAGCUGAGGUGUACUCAGUCCCAUUAUCAGACCUUAUGGUCUUCAGCUUGCAGCCUAUUUCAGUCUCAGAAGCAGUCUUGAACUUCCAAAACACUGAGGCCACCUCUGAUUUUUGUUUUAAGAAGUAAAUCCAACAAUAUCUUGAAAAAUCAUCAAUGACCAGUAUAAAAUACCUAUUUCCACUUAAUGACUCAGUCUUCAUAGGGCCACACACAUCAGUAUGCACCAGUUGGAGUUUUUCAGAGGCUCUCCAGGCUUGAUUCGAGGGAAAUGGGAGUCUGGCCUGCUUUCCUAGCUGACAUACUCCACAUACAUCAUCAUGGUCCACUGAGUUGAUGAAGUUUUUAGCCAGGUCUUCUCUGACCAUUCGGGCCAUCGAUCUGAAGUUGGCAUGUCCCAGCCUUUGAUGCCACAACUUGGAUUCAUCUGAUGUGGCUGUGUAGGCAAUGUCUGACUUCUUUGUCCAGUCAACCACAAAGCUCUUAUCAGCCAUAGGGACUGCCAUCAGUUUGGAUCCACUUGGAUCACUGAUUUGGCACUGGUUGUCUUUGAACACAACAGAAUACCCUUUCUCCAGCAAUUGAGCUAUGCUAAGCAGGUUUCUGUCAAUUUCAGGCACCAAGAGCACAUUUGAAAUCACUUUGGCACCUGUAGAAGUGCAUAUCAGCACAUCACUCUUGCCUUCAGCUUGAAUGAAAUGACCAUUUCCUAUUUUGACCUUAGUUCUGCAGCUUCUGUCUAAAGACUUGAAGAUUGCAGCAUCAGGUGUCAUGUGGUUGGUGCAUCCACUGUCUAGGAGCCAACCAGAUGAGAACCUUUCCUGAGCAGCUGAGCAUGACAUAGUAAAAACUUGCUCCUCUUAGUCACUGUCCUCCUUAGCUACUCGAGCCUCAGCUUUCAUCUGUUGAAACUGAUUGUGCCUUGAUUUGGCCUUGCUCUUGCAAACUCUCUCAACAUGACCCUUCUUCUUACAAUGCUGACAUACAGUUUCUGGAUUAAACUAGCACUUUUCUUCUAGAUGACCAACCCUUCUGCAGUGCUUGCAAGUCUGACCUUCUCUCCUUGCAGCAUCAUUCUUUGGCUUGUCUCUCCAGGCCUUCUUGCCUUUAUAGGCAGUGUUUAUUCUUUCCUGAAAGGCACCUUCUUGAUGCUCCUCCAGCCUGCUUGCUCUCCUCUACUCUUGAGCAUAUAGAGCAUUGAUCAACUCUGUCAGGGAGAUGGUGGACAGAUCCCUUGAGUCCUCGAGAGAUGAGAUUUUUGCCUCAUACCUCUCAGGCAGAGUUGCUAUAACCUUCUCCACUAUCCUAGCUUCAUUGAACUGCUCUCUAAGGAGCCUGAUGCUGUUAACCACAGCCAUAAUCCUGUCAGAAUAUUGCUUGACAGUUUCUUCUUCCUUCAUCUUCAAAUUCUCGAAAUCUCUCCUCAAGUUCAACAACUGUUGCUGCCUUGUCAUCUCUGUCCCUUGAAACUCUUCCUGCAACUUGUCCCAGGUCUGUUUUGGUGAUUCACAGGCCAUAAUCCUUGUGAAAAUCACAUCAGACACUGAGUUCUAGAUGCGAGACAUGGCUUUGUGCCUCUUGGUCCUCUCAUCAGCAUGCUGCCUGAUCUGAGCCACUGUUGGAUUGCCUCUAAGUGGUUCUGGUUCAACAUCUGAGUUGACCACCUCCCACAGAUCGUAUGCCUGCAGGUAGGUCUUCAUUUUGACCACCCAUAUGUGAUAGCCUUCUCCAUUGAAUACUUGAGGUGCAGCUGGUGAAAAGCUUGAUGAAGCCAUGUAUUUGUAUAACAGAUCCCUUAAGAAAUAGGCUCUAGAUACCAAUUGUUGGUGCUGUAACUGAAACUAACAGACUCAGCACAGACUUGUCGAGCAAGUCUCGAGACUUGCUGAGCAAACAAGAGAAUUCGAGCAAAAGAAAGGAAGAAAAGCUAAGAAAAAAUGAAUAGGAAAAUUGAUGAACAAAAAAGAACUAUAUUCAUAAAAUUGAAUAAUGGCAUAAUGCCAAUACAUAAACCAAGCACUAAGCUUGUCAAAAACAGCAAGUAAUUACCUAAACAUCACCUACUCCCACUAAUUACAUGGAAACUUGAAAUUUUAGCUUGUAAACCUAUACAAAGUUGUGUUUACAGCUCAUACAUAAGCUAAUUACAUCAGUCAACAACCUAACUUAGUUAGAAAUGAACUAAGAUUACAUUUCAUUGACUAGAAAUUACAAAAUAAACAAAAUAAGCUUCCAUCAGCAGCUCCUGCAUGUCUUGGUCUUCAUGGCCUGCAUGCUGUCGAGUUUGCUGCAUGCUGAACCAACUUCAUCAGACCCUUUUUCUUUUCAUGUUAUUAGGGAAGAAUUUUGUUUAUUGGAAGGGUGCUCGAGCAGAAUUGGUGAUUUCAGAGCCUGAAUUAGUCAAAGAGGUUCUGAAAAAUAGUGAACAAAUUUUUCAGAAAAAGAAACUUUCAGAUAUUGGUAGGAAGUUCUUGGGGGAAUGGUCUUAUUUUCAUUGAGGGGGAAAAAUGGGCAAAGCAUCGAAAGCUGGCCAAUCACACUUUCCAUGGGGAAAGCCUAAAGGUAAGUCUUCUAAAUAUAUAAACUAGGUGUAAUUAAUUUACAAGAAUUAUACAUAGACUACAAUAUUUUGGUAAAAUUGUGUAUUGUUAGCUAAGGAUAAGUUUAUUAUGGGCGUUGAAAAAGUGUAGUAAAAACAUACUUUUGAAAAAUUUAACACCAUUUACUACUUAGGAGGUCAAUUUUAAACUUGAUGUUCUAAAAUAAAAGAUUGAAUCAGAAAUUUUAAAAAAAAAGUAAUUUCAUUAAAAAGCACUCUUUUAGCUUUUUGACUUGGAUUAAAAUCUAGUUUGAAAAGGUGUUUAUUUGUCAAAUUGUUUAAUUUGAAAUCAUGAUUUUGUGUUGAAAAGUGUUUUUCUGACUCCAAUUAUAUAUGUCACUACUACUUACAUAUAGGAGGAUUGUUUGGGCAGAACAUGACUCCAGCAAUAAUUGCUAGUGUUGAAACAAUGCUAGAAAAGUGGAAAGGCCAAUAAGGCAAAGAGAUUGAACUGUACCAAGAAUUUAGGUUAUUAACUUCAGAAGUGAUUUCCAGAACAACAUUUGGUAGCAAUUACAUGGAAGGGGAGAAGAUUUUUGCCAUGUUAGACAAGUCGACAAUAAUUGUGAGUCAAAAUCUUUCUAAGACUAGAAUUCCUUUGAUCAGGUAUCUUCCCUCUAAGCUUAAUUAAUCCCAACUUUUACCUUGAUUUCAACUAGCUUUUGAAUGCAACUUUUAGACUUUCAUUCCCCCUGGAUUUGGUUUUCUCCUUAUAUAUAGCUGACCCUGGUUUGCUUUUGCAGCAAGUUGUGGAAAUCUGCUGAUUUGCUAGAGUCUGAAAAACUUUCAAAAGAAAUAAAAGAUCGUCUGAUGAAGAUUGUUAAGAAAAGAGAAGACAAAGUUGUGAAUGGAGAAGUCAAUAGCUUCCGCAGUGAUUUUUUUGGAUUACUUCUAAAUACCUAUCAUGAUUCGGAUGAGAAAAACAGGAUUUCAUUGGAAGACUUGGUAGCUGAAUGCAAAACAUUCUAUUUUGCUGGACAAGAAACUGUUAAUUCCUUACUUGCAUGGAGAUUGGCAAGAAAAAGCGAGAAGAGAGGUGGUUGACAUAUUUGGUAACCAAAAUCCACAUCUCGAAGGCAUCGCCAAACUCAAAAUAGUAAGAAAACUAUCUAACUGGGAAUUCAAAUAGCCAUCGACAUGAUGUAAUCUGACAUAUUUUUCUAUUUUCCAAACAGAUGACCAUGAUCAUCAAUGAAACUCUAAGAUUGUAUGGUCCAACAGGUGUCCUCCAAAGAACAGUUACAAGAGAAAUUCAGUUGGGAAAGCUACUCUUGCCUGCUAAUAUAGAUAUUCUGCCUUUAAAUAUUGGACUUCACCGUGACCCUCACUUUUGGGGAAAUGAUGUGCACCAUUUUAAACCUGAGAGAUUCGCUGAAGGGAUUGCCAAAGCUACCAAUUACACCGCGGCUGCCUUUUUCCCCUUCGGAUUAGGACCUCGAUCUUGUGUUGGUAUGACAUUUGCAAUGAUAGAAACCAAGAUUGCUCUCUCCAUGAUUCUACAACGCUACACCAUUACCCUUUCCCCUGCCUAUGUCCACUCUCCAAUACUUAUUCUCACCCUUCGACCCCAAAAUGGAAUUCAGGUAAUACUUGAGCCGAUACAUAGUAAUGCUUGAAGUACAUAGCCGUUAAGAACUAGAGGUUUAACAUGGUUCGUGUAUUGAACUUUUAAGAGAUGGUAUUUAAUAUGUUUAAAGGUUCUAGCAUUUAUCACAAAGACAAAUGACUCGUGGCCAUGUUUAAUUUUCAUCUAUCGUGCAAUGUUGAUGAGAAGAUAUCAUUUACUCAUUAGUUGGGUUAUGAAUUUCACUAUUUUGAAUAAUGUUACAUACUAUAGAAGUUGUAUAUCCAAUGCACCAACUUUCGGUAGUUCUUUAUCUUUUUGAACUUAGCCUUUCACUUGCAUCAAAGUAUACAAGUCAUGCAUGUAUAGUCCAUCAUCCACUCAAGAUUAAGGUAUAUCACGCUAUGAGCAUCAAAAGUAAAUAGAUCCAUAAAUGGAUUUAGAAUCUAUUCUACUUGGGUCUUAUCUGAUGUACUGUUAGUCCAGUCAAUCACAUCUAUGUCUCUCUCUUUUAGGAGUCAUCUGUUCCAUUCGAGACAAAACAUUUCCACAAUUGGGCUUGAUAGACGACAUAUUAGUUUUUCAAUCGAUUUGCUCAUUUUCGAUUAGACUAAGGACAUAUUUAGGUUUAUUUACUAAUACAAGCUAUCUUUCCAUAUCUAAUUCAAAUAUAGAUGAAUGAGAUUGGUUUAAUAUAUGUUGUAGGGAACAACGAAAAUGGGGAAAAAUUAAAUAUUACCCUAAAAUAAAUUGAUAAUUAAUAUAGUUAAAUUAAAUCCAUUUUGUUUAGGCAAAUGAAAACCAUUGGUUUAAAAGGUUUGAGAAUUGAGGAACCUUUGCAAAACAUAAUGCGAUAUCAUCACUAAAACACUGUUUAUAGGAGCUGAGAAUAAAUACUCUCUUUUCAUGUCUUUGUUGCUGGGUUUUUUAGGUCUUUUUGUAAUUAUCAUUCCUCUCAUUUCAAUAUUUAUGAUAAUAAUACCUGUAAAACAUGUUCGUCAUGUCUUGUUUUUACUAUUUAUGUAAACAUGAUUCCGGUAUAAACUAUACUAAAAUUUGUACUAUUGUAGUACUUAUUAUUAAAGUUAAGAAAUUAUUUAAGGUCGUGCGAUUUGUAAAAUUAAAGUUCUAGUCCCGUAAUAAUUGGUAUUGAACUAAGAUUUGAAGCUACCAGUUGAGAUGAGGAAAGGAGUAGAAGAGCAGAUUGAACCCAGAGAGACCCAUGGGAGGGGCAGGAGCUAUUUAUAUAUUUUUGAGAUGUUGAUAUCUUCAGGAGCCUUUUAUGACCACACACGAUAAUGGGAAAGAUAGGGUCCUACCUGACUUUUGGUUUAUCUGUUUUGAAGGGGAAAAUGGUUCUGGUUUAGAGAAGAAAAAUGAAUGCGUUGAUGGAGCUUCUAAUUCUUGCUCCAUGUUGUUUCUUCUUCAUAGCUUUAAUAAAGUUACUUUAUGAUUACCUAUGGAUACCUCUCUGUAUUCAGCAUAUGCUGAAUUUAGAGGUGAUCAUGAGUUGGGCGCCCUGGCCCAGCCUGACGGCCCGCCUGAAAAAUGAGAGGGUUUGGGUAAAAAAAAGAGACCCGUUUAAAAAAUAGGCCAAGCCUCAGGUAAAAUUUUUUUGGCCCCGGCCCAGCCCGAAAUAUAUAUUAAAUAUAUUUUUUUAAUCAUAUAUAUAUAUUAAAUAUAUACUUUUUUGGUGUUGUAAAAUUUAAUAUGGGCCAGGCCGGGCAGGGCUUAGCAAUUUUUUUCAGGUCGAGCUUGGACAAAUUUUUAGGCCCAUAUCUUGGGCCGGAUCAAGCCCGGGCUUAGAAAACGGGCCUAAAAUUUUAUCUUGGGCCGGUCCUGCCUGGCCAAUGAUCAUCUCUAGCUAAAUUCACAGGGUAUCAAAGGACCUCCUUACAGAUUCAUCCAUGGCAACAACAAGGAAGUUAUACUUUAAUUAUUAUUAUUUAUUUAAUUAUUAUUGGUCUAGUAGUCGAACCGAUUGAAUAAGAAAUCAAUAGUUUUAUCUUUUAACUGAUACUGUGAGAUUGUAGCACAUCAUCACCUAAAAAUUUAUAUAAUUUUUUUAAUUUUCAAGUGAUACAUAUGAUCAUGUCACAUCAUCAAACUUUUAAAAUUUUCAUGUUCAAAGAUUAAAAUAGACCUAAUUGUUAAAUUCAAAUGACAAAGUGGGCCAAAAAAAUCCUAAUAGCCAAUAAUAGAAAAAAUAUAUUAUUUAAAAAAAUAAAAAUAUUAAAGAAGACCCACGUGGUGAUAUUUCUCUUUUUCCAUAGUUCCCGACAAUAUUGUUGCCGUCUAUAUGUCGUAAAUAUGCUGCAACCAGCAAAAUUUGUUUUCUAAUAUUUGGCAACUUUUACUUGCAAGACAACGAAGAAAAACACUUAAAUAAUUAGUUCAGUCCUCCUCAAUAAUGGGAGAAUGUUUUUCAAGGCAAAAAUAGCUUCAAAAUCUACUCUUACUAAAAAAAAAAAAUUAUUAUCUUUUGUCCAUUUAAUUCAUCCACUAUUUAUAAUUAAAUAAUUAAAUUUCAAUUGAUAAUACCAAUUCCUUCAAUUCAAUCAUGUGUUGUUUUUUUUUAAAAAAAAAAACCUUACACGAAAUUCAUAUAAGAUAUAUAUGUAUAUAUCGAUUUUCAUUCUAUCUUUUUAAAAUAGAUUUGAAGAAUCUUACAAUUCGAGAAUUAAUAUUUUCAUUUGCUUAUUUGACUUUCCACGUGUAUGUAUUAGCUAGAUGAGUAUGAUUUUUUAUUUCGUAAGUGCCAAAUAAAUAUUACUUUAACAAAGGUUUUUUUUUUAUUACAAUGUUAUGAAUUGAAUUUCAAAAGUGCAAAUGAUACAGGGAGUGAAAGCAUAGUUAGACCUAAAAGAAACUAAGAAGUCAGUUGUUAUUGAGAAACGUCCUAAAUCCACUAUAUAAAAACAAAAGGACCAUCUGGAUUCAGUGUUAAGAGAAGAAACAUGAGUGAUUUGAUGGAGCUUGUGAUACAGCAUAUGCUGAAUUCAUAGGGAAUCAAAGGACCUCUUUACACAUUCAUCCACGGCAACAACAAGCAAAUUACCUAAAUGAAAAAGAAAGCAUUAAACAAUCCUGGCGUUGCAGUGGAACAGAUUAAAGCUACAAAUUAUGGUAGUGGAGCAGAUUAGAGCUACCAGCCUUAUCUCCCUGAAGUUGUAGCGGAGCAGACUGAAGAUAGAGAAUCUUAUUUCCCUAGCGUUGCAGUGGAACAGAUUAAAACUACAAGUUAUGGCGGAUCUUAUCUUCCUAAAUUUGCAAUGGAGCAGAUUAAAGCCACCAGCCUUAUCUCAUUGAAGUUCCAGCGGAGUAGAUCAAAGCUACAAGUCUCUUCUCCCUAAAAUUACAUUGGAGCAUAUCAAAACACCAAUUCCUAUACCCCUGAAGAUGCGAUGAAAUGGAAUGAGACUACUUGAAAGAAAGAAGCACCAUAAAGUCAAGAUUCGGCAAGACCAGGCAAAAUUAGCCUCUUUAAAGUCUUUCUACCAUUCUCAUUACACGAGAAUGAGCAAAGAGGGACAGUUGUAAUAGGCCAAUUUUGGCCCAGGCUCAAAACCAAAUAAAUAAAACCAAAACCUGAGAGAUUCGCUGAAGGGAUUGCCAAAGCUACCAAUUACACCGCGGCUGCCUUUUUCCCCUUCGGAUUAGGACCUCGAUCUUGUGUUGGUAUGACAUUUGCAAUGAUAGAAACCAAGAUUGCUCUCUCCAUGAUUCUACAACGCUACACCAUUACCCUUUCCCCUGCCUAUGUCCACUCUCCAAUACUUAUUCUCACCCUUCGACCCCAAAAUGGAAUUCAAGUAAUACUUGAGGCGAUACAUAGUAAUGCUUGAAGUACAUAGCCGUUAAGAACUAGAGGUUUAACAU
rnacentral:lncRNA from 1 species